UGGCUUUUAACCCGCCAGACCUUGAUUAUAUCCCUAUGAACAUUAUUAAUCAAUAAAGCAAGUGUGUUUAGACUGAAAAAAAAGGAGGGCUUCUUCCUCCUCGCGUUCACCCCAGGAGGCCGCCAUGGCGUACAGUGGCUGCAUCCCAACGCUUCCCUUCCCUUCCCCGCACCCACUAACCUCCAGAACCGGUUCCCCUCGCCUCCCACGACCCCUUCCCUUCAAUAGUGCGCCUUAAGGCACCCCCUAAUGGCCAUUAGAGCUCGAGGAAACUGCUGCUUUUACUGCAGCCAUUAACACCCACGACGCAGCUCGGUCUGGCCCUCCCCUGACCCUCUAUAAAAGCCUAGGACGCCGCCCAUAAUCUCCUCGUUCGAAGCCCUCUCCUUCGGGAGCAUAUCCCCCUCCUCAUCUCUAUAUAUUCCUCGCCGGAGUUCCGUCCUGCUACAGCCGUAUGCGCACAACCACGACGAGCACAAGUUUGGUUAGCGGAAGCACGCGCUCCAAGGCGUACGCGACCGACCGGAGCUCCUAACGAGUCCGGCGGCUUCCCCACCGCGCCCGAGGACGAGCCAGCCGCGUUGUUCCCCGGGUCCGCCCCGACCUCCUCUCCACCGUCCUCCACUCGCUGGUCUCCGGAGCCCGCCCAACACCGGAGCCCCGCGACGCCCUCACCACCACAGCCACCCGCCGCCUCGCCGGACUUCUUUUCCCGAUAUAUCGUAAAGUGAAGGAGUGACGAUAACGAAUAGAGAAUCAACUUCAAGAAUCAGGCAAGUUGCAACUUGAUCAUUCCUUGUCCUAUGUUUUUGUAAUAUGCAUGAAUUCUUUUAUUACUAUGCAUGUUUUAGUAAA